UACAGGGGGGGCAAGCGUUGUUCGGAAUUACUGGGCGUAAAGGGUUCGUAGGUGGCUGGCUAAGUCAGACGUGAAAUCCCUCAGCUUAACUGGGGAACUGCGUCUGAGACUGGCGAGCUUGAGUGCAGGAGAGGAACGCGGAAUUCCAGGUGUAGCGGUGAAAUGCGUAGAUAUCUGGAGGAACACCGGUGGCGAAGGCGGCGUUCUGGACUGUAACUGACACUGAGGAACGAAAGCCAGGGUAGCAAACGGG
rnacentral:rRNA from 1 species